rnacentral:rRNA from 1 species
UUGAUCAAGCUACAAAGAGCGCAUCAUGGAUGCCUUGGUGCCAAUAGGCGAUGAAGGACGUGGCAAGCUGCGAUAAGUCACGGAGAGCGGCAAACACGCUUUGACCCGUGAAUGUCCGAAUGGGGUAACCUGAGCGGGUUAACACCUGCUCGAGUUUGUGUGAAUCCAUAGCACGAACAUCGCGACACCCGGUGAAGUGAAACAUCUCAGUAACCGGAGGAAAAGAAAUCGAAAGAGAUUCCGUCAGUAGUGGCGAGCGAAAGCGGAACAGGCUAAACCGGUCGAUUUAUCGAUCGGGGUUGUAGGAGCCCGAC